GUGCGUAUGGUUUUAAUUUUUUUUAAAUUACAUUGUUUCCCGGGGAAAUUGUUUCCCAGGGAAAUAAAUUGACGAGAACUUUAGUCAGCUGCGUAUAUUAUACGCAUCCAUUUCGCGCCCCUGUCGUCAAAAAUGUUUCCUGUGAAAGAAAAAGUAAAACAUACGAUUUGGGUAAAAACCUAGUCAAAGAUAUAUCAAGAUCCGUGUCCAGUCAAUGUGAUCCUUGUACAGUCAAGUUGUUAUUAUAGUCAAUGUGAUCCUUGUACAGUCAAGUUGUUAUUAUAGUCAAUGUGAUCCUUGUACAGUCAAGUUACUAUUAUAGAUGCUUUAGAUGACGACACAACGUUACUUACAAAUUAGGCUGACCUCAGAGAUACAUUCAUCAGUAUUUAUUUAUUAGCUAUAAUGGAAAGUUGGAAUGAGAAACUGACUACAGCUGCUAGGAAAGGAGAUAUAGAUGCCUUAGAAUUAAGCCUACAGAAUGGUGCAGACAUUGAUUAUCAAGAUGGUAGAGGAUGGACAGCAUUAAUGUGGGCUGCCUGGGGAGGACACCUGGAGAUCUGUAAACUCUUCAUUGAUACAGGAUGUAAGAUCGACAUCACAACA